UUGCUCUUCAACGAGGAAUGCCUAGUAAGCGCAUGUCAUCAGCAUGCGUUGAUUACGUCCCUGCCCUUUGUACACACCGCCCGUCGCUACUACCGAUUGAAUGGCUCGGUGAGGCCUUCGGACUGGCCCAGGGAGGUCGGCAACGACCACCCAGGGCCGGAAAGUUGGUCAAACCCGGUCAUUUAGAGGAAGUAAAAGUCGUAACAAGGUCUCCGUAGGUGAACCUGCGGAGGGAUCAUUACAAGUGACCCCGGUCUAACCACCGGGAUGUUCAUAACCCUUUGUUGUCCGACUCUGUUGCCUCCGGGGCGACCCUGCCUUCGGGCGGGGGCUCCGGGUGGACACUUCAAACUCUUGCGUAACUUUGCAGUCUGAGUAAACUUAAUUAAUAAAUUAAAACUUUUAACAACGGAUCUCUUGGUUCUGGCAUCGAUGAAGAACGCAGCGAAAUGCGAUAAGUAGUGUGAAUUGCAGAAUUCAGUGAAUCAUCGAAUCUUUGAACGCACAUUGCGCCCCUUGGUAUUCCAUGGGGCAUGCCUGUUCGAGCGUCAUUUGUACCUUCAAGCUCUGCUUGGUGUUGGGUGUUUGUCUCGCCUCUACGUGUAGACUCGCCUCAAAACAAUUGGCAGCCGGCGUAUUGAUUUCGGAGCGCAGUACAUCUCGCGCUUUGCACUCAUAACGACGACGUCCAAAAGUACAUUUUUACACUCUUGACCUCGGAUCAGGUAGGGAUACCCGCUGAACUUAAGCAUAUCAAUAAGCGGAGGA
rnacentral:rRNA from 1 species